ACAGGGAGACAGGUGGUGGCAUGGUUGUCGUCAGCUCGUGUCGUGAGAUGUUGGGUUAAGUCCCGCAACGAGCGCAACCCCUACGUUAGUUGCUAACGCGUGAAGGCGAGCACUCUAGACGAACUGCCGUUGACAAAACGGAGGAAGGUGGGGAUGACGUCAAAUCAUCAUGCCCCUUAUGUUCUGGGCUACACACGUGCUACAAUGGUUGGUACAACGAGUUGCGAGUCGGUGACGGCGAGCUAAUCUCUUAAAGCCAAUCUCAGUUCGGAUUGUAGGCUGCAACUCGCCUACAUGAAGUCGGAAUCGCUAGUAAUCGCGGAUCAGCACGCCGCGGUGAAUACGUUCCCGGGCCUU
rnacentral:rRNA from 1 species